GCCGUUAGCUCAGGGACAAAGCCUCUGCUUUGCAUGCAGAACUUCUCAGGUUCAAUCCCUGGCAUCUCCA